GCAUAAUGUAUGAGCUACAGCUUUCAUACUGAAAUCUGCAAAGAUUAGGAAGGCAGUCGAGCUGAUCUUGAAGAAGUUCAACAUUGUCAAGGGGGUUCUCUGAGAGAUCAGAGACUUCACCCUGAAAGGAACCAAAUCGAGAUGUGAUAAAACUUUUGACAAUCUCUGGCACGAAAUCACUAAGCAGGCUUGGAGUGUCUCCCUUCAAAUAUGGA
rnacentral:misc_RNA from 1 species